GCCGCGUGAACGAAGAAGGCUUUCGAGUCGUAAAGUUCUGUUAUAGGGGAAGAAGAAGUGACGGUACCCUAUGAGAAAGCCACGGCUAAUUACGUGCCAGCAGCCGCGGUAAUACGUAAGUGGCAAGCGUUAUCCGGAAUUACUGGGCAUAAAGAGUGCGUAGGCGGUUAAACAAGCCAAUAGUGAAAUCCACCAGCCUAACUGGUGUCAGCUAAUGGAACUGUAUAACUUGAGUACAGGAGAGGAAAGUGGAAUUCCUAGUGUAGUAGUGAAAUGCGUAGAUAUUAGGAAGAACAUCAGUAGCGAAGGCGACUUUCUGGACUG
rnacentral:rRNA from 1 species